AUUGAACGCUGGCGGCAUGCUUUACACAUGCAAGUCGAACGGUAACAGGCCGCAAGGUGCUGACGAGUGGCGAACGGGUGAGUAAUGCAUCGGAACGUGCCCAGUCGUGGGGGAUAACUGCUCGAAAGAGCAGCUAAUACCGCAUACGAUCUAUGGAUGAAAGCGGGGGACCGUAAGGCCUCGCGCGAUUGGAGCGGCCGAUGUCAGAUUAGGUAGUUGGUGGGGUAAAGGCUCACCAAGCCAACGAGCGGUAGCUGGUCUGAGAGGACGACCAGCCACACUGGGACUGAGACACGGCCCAGACUCCUACGGGAGGCAGCAGUGGGGAAUUUUGGACAAUGGGGGUAACCCUGAUCCAGCAAUGCCGCGUGCAGGAAGAAGGCCUUCGGGUUGUAAACUGCUUUUGUACGGAACGAAACGGUCUGGGUUAAUACCCUGGGCUAAUGACGGUACCGUAAGAAUAAGCACCGGCUAACUACGUGCCAGCCGCCGCGGUAAGAC
rnacentral:rRNA from 1 species